rnacentral:rRNA from 1 species
CCUACGGGUGGCAGCAGUGAGGAAUAUUGGUCAAUGGACGAGAGUCUGAACCAGCCAAGUAGCGUGAAGGAUGACUGCCCUAUGGGUUGUAAACUUCUUUUAUAUGGGAAUAAAAUGUUCCACGUGUGGGAUUUUGUAUGUACCAUAUGAAUAAGGAUCGGCUAACUCCGUGCCAGCAGCCGCGGUAAUACGGAGGAUCCGAUCGUUAUCCGGAUUUAUUGGGUUUAAAGGGAGCGUAGGGGGAUUGUUAAGUCAGUUGUGAAAGUUUGGGGCUCAACCGUAAAAUUGCGGUUGAAACUGGCAGUCUUGAGUACAGUAGAGGUGGGCGGAAUGCGUGGUGUAGCGGUGAAAUGCUUAGAUAUCACGAAGAACUCCGAUUGCGAAGGCAGUUCACUGGACUGCAACUGACACUGAGGCUCGAAAGUGUGGGUAUCAAACAGGAUUAGAUACCCGGGUAGUC